rnacentral:rRNA from 1 species
GACAGAGGGUGCAAACGUUGUUCGGAAUUACUGGGCGUAAAGCGUGUGUAGGCGGCUCGAUAAGUCGGAUGUGAAAGCCCUGGGCUCAACCCAGGAAGUGCACUCGAUACUGUCGAGCUAGAGUAUCGGAGAGGUUGGUGGAAUUCUCGGUGUAGAGGUGAAAUUCGUAGAUAUCGAGAGGAACACCGGCGGCGAAGGCGGCCAACUGGACGAAUACUGACGCUGAGACACGAAAGCGUGGGGAGCAAACAGG